GAAGUGAUUACAUUCAUCUCCAGACUGGGGAUUACGGAGGAAUUUCCCCCGGGAAUAAUAGCGCUAGUGACUUUCAUGAGGUUGAAGACAUGACAGAAUCUUUGACCAACUGCUACCAAAAUCCACUUGUUUCUUUUUGUGGAAGGAGGCAAUCUGUACCAAAGACAAUGCGCAAGUGCUACAAGAAUAUGGAGUCGGUUCUCCCUUUUGCACGUGUACCUAAGUCCCAUCAGUCUCAACAUAAAUUCUGCAUGAAGGGGAGAACAAACAUCAAAAGUUUUUAAACAGUCCAAGUGCCCGCCCCUAAUUGAACGUGGCUGCUGCGGAGAGCUGACUACAUCUUCAAAACACAGCUGUGUGACAGGUGAAGCAGCCCACAAUGAUAAAUGUUAGGUUUAGAACUUCAAGAUUACAACCUACUGAUGAACUGUCAUCGAAUGAGAUUCCAUUUCCCACUCCUGACGACAUUUUAAUUUUUACCUAUUUAAACCAGAGUUACUAAAAACAUUUUCCUACCAGGAACAGAUGCAGUAGAGGCACAUUUUAAAAUAUUUAAUUCACAAACCAAUAUUGUUACCCAUGAAUGAGUAAAUAAAAGAUCCCUCUGAAAUCUCAGAAAUUUGUAUAUUUUGAGCCAGAUUCUUAGCUGGUGUAAAUUGAGGUUAAUAUAUGCUAUCUGAGAAUCUGAAUAUAUGUAUUAAUAGAGUUAAAUUAGUGGGGGGUGGGAAGAUGAAUGAAAGGUCCAUACAAAACAACAAGAUCUCAACUCCAUCACUUUCUGAGAGAUUUUUAAUAUAUGAGCCAGAUCCUGGUCUCAGUUAUAUUGGUAUAAAUCUGCAGUAAUUCCACUGAAAUCAUUUGGUGUCAGUCCAGAUUAGCUCCACUGUUGAAUUUAUACUGAUAUAACUGAAAUCAACUCUGUGGAACAG